CCUACGUGCGGCAGCAGUGGGGAAUAUUGCACAAUGGGGGAAACCCUGAUGCAGCGACGCCGCGUGAGCGAUGAAGUAUUUCGGUAUGUAAAGCUCUAUCAGCAGGGAGGAAAAUGACGGUACCUGACUAAGAAGCCCCGGCUACCUACGUGCCAGCAGCCGCGGUAAUACGUAGGGGGCAAGCGUUAUCCGGAUUUACUGGGUGUAAAGGGAGCGUAGACGGCGAUGCAGGCCAGAUGUGAAAGCCCGGGGCUCAACCCCGGGACUGCAUGUGGAACAGUAUAGGUGGAGUGUCGGAGAGGCAGGCGGAAUUCCUAGUGUAGCGGUGAAAUGCGUAGAUAUUAGGAGGAACACCAGUGGCGAAGGCGGCCUGCUGGACGAUGACUGACGUUGAGGCUCGAAAGCGUGGGGAGCAAACAGGAUUAGAUACCCUAGUAGUC
rnacentral:rRNA from 1 species